UCUGCCCAGAAGUUCGGGAUAACAGUUCGAAAGGGCUGCUAAUACUGGAUAAUCUUUUAUCUUUGAGCUUGCUUGAAGGUAGGAGCAAAGCGUUUAGCGCUUCUGGAUGAGCCCGCGUCCCAUUAGUUAGUUGGUAGGGUAAUGGCCUACCAAGGCGACGAUGGGUAGCCGGUCUGAGAGGAUGUACGGCCACACUGGGACUGAGAACGGCCCAGACUCCUACGGGAGGCAGCAGUGGGGAAUAUUGCGCAAUGGGGGAAACCCUGACGCAGCGACGCCGCGUGAGCGAAGAAGGCCUUAGGGUCGUAAAGCUCUGUUUUAAGGGACGAAUAUCUUCAGUAGUAACUGACUGAGGAAUGACGGUACCUUAAGAGAAAGCCCCGGCUAACUACGUGCCAGCAGCCGCGGUAAGACGUAGGGGGCGAGCGUUGUCCGGAAUUACUGGGCGUAAAGAGCACGUAGGCGGGAUUUUAAGUCAGGUGUGAAAGACCGUGGCUCAACCACGGGGUUGCACAUGAAACUGGAAUUCUUGAGGGCAGGAGAGGAAAGUGGAAUUCCUGGUGUAGCGGUGAAAUGCGUAGAAAUCAGGGGGAACACCGGUGGCGAAGGCGACUUUCUG
rnacentral:rRNA from 1 species